rnacentral:rRNA from 1 species
CCUACGGGUGGCAGCAGUGGGGAAUAUUGGGCAAUGGAGGCAACUCUGACCCAGCAACGCCGCGUGAGUGAUGAAGGUCUUCGGAUUGUAAAACUCUUUAAGUGGGGACGAAGAAAGUGACUGUACCCACAGAAUAAGCCUCGGCUAACUACGUGCCAGCAGCCGCGGUAAUACGUAGGAGGCAAGCGUUAUCCGGAAUGACUGGGCGUAAAGGGUGCGUAGGUGGUUCGGCAAGUUAGUAGCGUAAUUCCGGGGCUCAACCUCGGAACUACUACUAAAACUGUUGGGCUUGAGUGCAGGAGGGGCAUAUGGAAUUCCUAGUGUAGCGGUGGAAUGCGUAGAUAUUAGGAAGAACACCAGUGGCGAAGGCGAUAUGCUGGACUGUAACUGACACUGAGGCACGAAAGCGUGGGGAGCAAACAGGAUUAGAUACCCCAGUAGUC